UACGUAGGGGGCGAGCGUUGUCCGGAAUUAUUGGGCGUAAAGAGCGUGUAGGCGGUCCGGUAAGUCCGCUGUGAAAGUCCAGGGCUCAACCCUGGAAUGCCGGUGGAUACUGCCGGGCUAGAGUCCGGAAGAGGCGAGUGGAAUUCCUGGUGUAGCGGUGAAAUGCGCAGAUAUCAGGAGGAACACCAAUGGCGAAGGCAGCUCGCUGGGACGGUACUGACGCUGAGGCGCGAAAGCGUGGGGAGCAAACAGG
rnacentral:rRNA from 1 species